rnacentral:misc_RNA from 1 species
ACACAUUUCAACGCAACUCACGAUGUGCACAUUAGAAAAAGCCGGCAACAUCUUCUAUCUUACGCUUACCGGCAACGACGAGCACCGAUUGAAUCCUACUCUCAUCGCGACCCUCCGAUCAACACUAGCGCAAGUUAAAUCCCAAUCCGUUAAGGGUUCCGUUCUAAUAACCAAAGCCGAUGGAAGAUUCUUCUCCAACGGCUUUGAUCUAAAGUAUGCACAAGCCGGAGGCUCAGCAAAAGCUUCUAUCGAUCGGCUUAGGAGCAUGGUGGAUUCGUUAAAGCCAGUGGUUGCCGAUUUCAUGUCACUCCCGAUUCCAACCAUCGCUGCCGUUACCGGCCACGCUGCGGCGGCAGGGCUGUUGUUAGCGAUGAGUCAUGAUUAUAUAAUGAUGAGAUCGGAUAAAGGCGUGUUGUAUAUGAGU